AAUUUAGAGAGAUGGGUAGAGACGCAUCGACACUCUGGAACCCUAAUCUCUUCUCUCUCGCGCAAGACCGACGAUCUCCUUCUGAGCCCUUUCAUCUUCUUCCGUUAGUCGUUCACGUUUUGUCAUUCAAUCCACCAUCAAACCUUAGGCUGAGACGAUGAAUAUCUUCUGCCUCUCCUAUCUUUGUCGUUUCCGCUACUCCAUCCCUGUGUCUUUAUAAAUUAAACAUUUUAAAGCUUCUUAUGCUCUUUGACAAAAAAAAGUCUCUUAAGCUCCCACGAACAGGCCCUGUAACACUACCGUCGAAACUUUGUGUUCUCAGAUUUUGCAAGGUCGGGAAUCGGGAUGUGAUAAGAAAUGGCAAGCUUAUGGGGUCGGUCUACUUCUUCUUGACGCUAAGCUUUUGCAGGCCCGGAUUGCAAAUCUUUAACGAGUCAUAUGAUUAUGAACUGACGUGAUCAAAUCAGAAGCCAAUCUAAUCCCAUGAGAUCUUCCCGUAAGGGUCAAUACCUAUGGCCCAGAUUGCAAACUUUUAAAAGAAAGUUGUUCAAGUAGAUGUCAAAGGUCUUGGCGCCACCACAUCCAUUGGUCAAACACUGGAUCUUUGUCAUGAGAAACGACCAACCUCCUACAGCUAUUUCAGGAAUGCAAUAGCUGAAAUAGGGAGACUAUUGAUGUUCGAAGCAUCUCGAGAGUGGCUGGAAUGGUUUCCAGAGGUAGGACUUUCUAUGCAACAAUUUUGACGAGCAAGCAACAGUUCACUGGAGAAGAAGAAAUCGGAGUCUCGAGCACACACGGCUCAGAUUCACGCUGAUGUCUUUGUAGCUGGUGUGGAUGCAUCUGUUAGCUGUCGCAGGAGCAACCGUUGUGUCUUCCAGCUUUGGGAAGGACGAGAAAAUGGCUAAGUCAGAAGUAGCAGUUGCCACGACCCUUGCGGAUGCUCUGUAUAUGAAGGAUGAUGAAGUGAUUGCAGCUAAGCGAGAGCAUUUGGCCUUAACAGUCAAUGAGACAAUGAAGAAACCUUCAAGAAUGAAGAUUGUGGACAAUGAGAAGAGCGGGAGAGUAACUUAUCAGAAACUCAAAAAGCGUUGUUGAAAGAUUUGAUACCAAUCUUGACAACUAGGACAUCAGUGACCUGUACAAUAUUUGGAUCCGUAGCUGUUGUAGUGGGUCUAUAUGAUAAAGGGAGAUUGAAUUUGGAGCUUGAGGUUUGAUUGAUAAGUGUGCGUUGAACUUAGUUUUGAGGACCAAUCAGACACUGUUACACUUAUGUUCAAGGUCUUCAUCAAGAUAUCAGUAGGGAAAGUUCUUCAUCAAGAUAUCCGUAGGGAGAUGGAUCACAAAGGAGGACAGUUAAUAAAGAUAUGAAGUUCAGUUAUUAAAAGAAUAAUUGCACACAAAAGAAAAAAAAUUAAAACUCUUGCGGAAAACGUACUCUAUAGAAUGUAGGACAACCUUAAUAUAGCUCAUAAUUGUAACACAAACCCAAAGUUAGUAGCCAUUAGUAUCUACAAACCUUAACAUUUGGUUAAA